rnacentral:lncRNA from 1 species
CAUAAACAACGAAAAUGACGCUUCGAGGACAAGAAUUCGAGAAAUAAAGUUUACUUGGUCUUUUGUGAUGUUCCAAUUCCAUUUUUUUGAAAGUGACUCAUCAUGUUAUAGUGUGAUGUUUUCUGAAUGACUUUAUGUGAUAGUGUGAACGUUUUCUGACUGGCAGAAGGAUAUUCAGUUUUCUUUUUGCCCCACCUUGUCAGUCUUGUGCUAAAAAGAAGAGAUAGAACCACAUUUAUGUGUAAACACUGACAGAGGAAAAAAAGGACUAGUUUAUUAUGAAUACACCACAUUGGUAUAAAGACUAUAAUUUUUUUUAUA